ACGAACGCUGGCGGCUGCUUAACACAUGCAAGUCGAACGGAGUGGCGAACGGGUGAGUAACGCGUGAGCAACCUGCCUAUGACAGUGGGAUAGCCUCGGGAAACCGGGAUUAAUACCGCAUAGUCAUAGAUGGGCUCGCGUCUGAUUAGCUAGUUGGUGAGAUAACAGCCCACCAAGGCGACGAGCAGUAGCCGGUCUGAGAGGAUGAACGGCCACAUUGGAGCUGAGACACGGUGCGAACUCCUACGGGAGGCAGCAGUGGGGAAUAUUGCACAAUGGGGGAAACCCGGAUGCAGCGGCGCCGCGUGAACGAAGAAGGUAUUCGGAUCGUAAAGUUCUGUCCUAUGGGAAGCGGUACCAGAGAAGAAAGCUCCGGCUAAAUACGUGCCAGCAGCCGCGGUAAUUC
rnacentral:rRNA from 1 species